AAUAAACGUUUCGUUCGUGGGCUGACGCACGGGCUCUCCUCCCCCCGCGCAGCGCCCCCGAGCUCCAGAUCGGGAGGGGAGCUCCCGAUCCAGAGCCCCUAACCGCCGCGCUGCCUUCGCGCUCGGCCUCGCCACCGGCCGCCGCGCCGCCGUCGACCAUAGCCGGACCUCCACGUCUCGCGCCCCCUCUUAUGGAUCAGCCAUGGCCACCGGCCGCCGCGCCGCCCACCACGACGAGCUGCUCAGCACUCUCCUCGCCGCCGCGGGCAACGGCCGGGAGGAGGAGGAGGACGCGCGGGAGGCGCGGCAGCAUCAGAAUCAACGCGUCGAAUCCGGCCUCGGCUUACGGCGACACGGACGUGGAUGCUCUGGUUGCGACCGCCGUGCUCUAUGCCCCGACCCUGCUCGCCGAGUCCGUCCGACCUGCUGAUCUCGCCGGCCAGCGACGGGAGGAGGGUGGCAAGCUGAGCCGGAGGAGAGCGAGGCGUCCACGUUACUUUAAGUGCAAAGCAGAGAAACACACACACACUCAGGCACGAGCACAAGCUCUCCUCGCCUAUGGGUACGGCGCCGCCGCCGCCAUGCGCGGCCGCGCGGAGCGGAGGCCGUGAUGGCAAGGCAGCCCUUUGGAGUCGCUCCUCCCUGACCAGGCCCAACCCCGCUCCACCAGCUCGACCUCCUAUUUCCUUCCCAAUGCCGGGCACUGCCCGCUCUCCUCUCUGAUUUCCGGCAUGGAAAACCCUCUUCUCCGACUUUCGGCCUCUCCCCAACCUCUGGCCGGUGCUGCGGGACAUAUACAACAUCUGCCCUCCAUGCCAUUGCAACUUCCAGCCUCGACGUCCAUCGCCUUCUCUAGAUCCAGCGGCCAUCUGCACGGCUGCACGCCAACUGUUCGGUCAAUUGACCCAACAGACACGAGCCUAGAGAAUGGAGAGAAAGAGGAGAAGUUGUCUUCAGCACCAUACUGAACUAUUGAAGCAACAGGAAGAUGAGUGUAUCAUGCAAGAGGAGAUCCUGGCCGCCGUCCUGUGCCUCGGCGACCAGUAUGACCAUGUCCUCGCGUGCCUCCUGCUGGUUGAUCCGGUGCCAGCAACUGUCAUCUUCCCAAAAUUUAACUGGACAUUUGAAUGUUCUUAAUUUUUUUUCUUCUGAAAUGAACAUAGCUGUGAGUUUUUUUUAUGGUGAAAUCAAGUUCUGACGGAAUUUACAAUAUACUUUGUAUUGUUGUUUUUUAGGUCUUACACACCUCAUGUACCCAGGGCCAUCCACACCCAUUUUGACCGUUCAUUAGAUGUUUAUCGGUUAGCAGGGGAGGCCAUGAACAAUCUUUAAAAAAACCCAGGUGCAAGUGCUGAGUUACAACGCGACAUCGACGACACAAAAGCCAGUAUGUUUGAGCUAAGGGAACGAGCUAGGGACAGUACCACCCGGCUGCCCCAGCACUUAAGCUGACUGUCCAAUUCCACUUUCAUCCAUGGAGGCUGCGGUUUAAUUCUCAGGUUGGAUAAUAUGAAGUUUUUUGGCUUAUCGUUGCGCCUCAUGUUUCCGACCUCGCGUGGCUGUACACUUCUCGUACUCGACUGUUCGCUGGAACUUUGUCUGACCUGAGGUUUCCCUUGGUUCAGUACUUAAUUUUUUUGGUGUAUACUUUCUCCUCGGCAGUGAAGUAUAUGUACGACAAGACAGAAAGAAACAUAUACUGUUGAUCGAUACUGAAACACACCAUACAGAAAGGCCCUCUCUUCUAUACCCCUUUGCGAAAAAUAGUAUACUAUCAUUUGAAAAGAAAACACACCAUACACUCCUUUGUGACAAUGAGUAUACACUGAUCGUUAUUGCCAGUAUCAUAGGUAUAUACUCUGAGAAUAGUUGUAUAUAUCCCAUUUGAAAAAAUAGUAUGUAUAUACUCCUUGCAAACUACUCCAUAUCGUUUAAUUGUUUUUACAUAAGACUAUCCGUCGAGAUACAAUAACUAAUUAGUAUUUUAAUAACUUGAAUUGCAUGGCUUGAUCGCUCUGCUUGGGUCUUCUCUUAUGUAUGAGUGCACCAUGUGCGGGUUAAUUUUUUUGGGUCUUCUAACUCUCUGGGAUAAUUUGCAUCUCUAUUUGUGCUAAUUGGCAAGGUGCAUGAAUAAUGAUUUAUCUAAGGUUUUUUGCUUAACGGAAAGGCCUUUUCAGUUAAAAAACCCUACUGAUUUGAUCAACAGAAUAUGCCUCUAUUUUUAAAUAGCAGUAGUUCCUCUCAACUUCUACUUAUUUAAUUGACUAUUUUGGUGUCAAGAUCCAAUAGCCUUGCUGUUAGUUAAUGCUAUUUAUAUUUUCUUCCAACAAAGUGUUUACGG